GUAGUAUUCCCUCCGUCCCAAAAUUCUUGUCUUACAUUUGUUUAGACACGGAUGUAUCUAACACUAAAAUGUAACUAGAUACAUCCAUAUUUAGACAAAUUUAAGACAAGAAUUUUGGGAUGGAGGGAGUACAAA
rfam:Triticum aestivum genome assembly, contig: Triticum_aestivum_CS42_TGACv1_scaffold_423475_5BS